AGUGAACGCUGGCGGUAGGCCUAACACAUGCAAGUCGAACGGCAGCACAGUAAGAGCUUGCUCUUACGGGUGGCGAGUGGCGGGCGGGUGAGGAGUACAUCGGAAUCUACUUUUUCGUGGGGGAUAACGUAGGGAAACUUACGCUAAUACCGCAUACGACCUACGGGUGAAAGCAGGGGAUCUUCGGACCUUGCGCGAUUGAAUGAGCCGAUGUCGGAUUAGCUAGUUGGCGGGGUAAAGGCCCACCAAGGCGACGAUGCGUAGCUGGUCUGAGAGGAUGACCAGCCACACUGGAACUGAGACACGGUCCAGACUCCUACGGGAGGCAGCAGUGGGGAAUAUUGGACAAUGGGCGAAAGCCUGAUCCAGCCAUGCCGCGUGGGUGAAGAAGGCCUUCGGGUUGUAAAGCCCUUUUGUCGGGAACGAAAAGCAGCAGGUUAAUACCCCGCUGUUAUGACGGUACCCACAGAAUAAGCACCGGCUAACUUCGUG
rnacentral:rRNA from 1 species